rnacentral:rRNA from 1 species
CCUGAUGACCAUAGCGAGUCGGUCCCACCCCUUCCAUCCCGAACAGGACCGUGAAACGACUCCACGCCGAUGAUAGUGCGGAUUACCCGUGUGAAAGUAGGUAAUCGUCAGGCUCCCCCGCAGCAAACAGAAACCCCACCCCGAAAAGGUGGGGUUUCUGCGUUUACGGCGACGGAAAAAC